rnacentral:lncRNA from 1 species
UACUGCAGGUGAACUUCGUCCGGACUCCUACGGGAGUCGGACUUCAUCCCCGACCUCUACUGCAGGUGAACUUCGUCCGGACUCCUACGGGAGUCGGACUUCACCCCCGACUUCAAUUGCAGGUGAACUUCAUCCGGACUCCUACAAGAGCCGGACUUCGUCCCCGACUUCAAUUGCAGGUGAACUUCAUCCAGACUCCCACGGGAGCCAGACUUCGUUCUGA